AGUGGGAAUAUUGCACAAUGGGCGCAAGCCUGAUGCAGCCAUGCCGCGUGUAUGAAGAAGGCCUUUCGGGUUGUAAAGUACUUUCAGCAGUGAGGAAGGUGGGUAUGUUAAUAGCAUACUCAUUUGACGUUAGCUGCAGAAGAAGCACCGGCUAACUCCGUGCCAGCAGCCGCGGUAAUACGGAGGGUGCGAGCGUUAAUCGGAAUUACUGGGCGUAAAAGCGCAUGCAGGUGGUUUGUUAAGUCAGAUGUGAAAGCCCGGGGCUCAACCUCGGAAUUGCAUUUGAAACUGGCAAACUAGAGUACUGUAGAGGGGGUAGAAUUUCAGGUGUAGCGGUGAAAUGCGUAGAGAUCUGAAGGAAUACCGGUGGCGAAGGCGGCCCCCUGGACAGAUACUGACACUCAGAUGCGAAAGCGUGGGGAGCAAACAGGAUUAGAUACCCUGGUAG
rnacentral:rRNA from 1 species